GCCUUUGGCCCAGCAAUAUUACUACUAGGCAUAUUUCCAAAGAUGUCAAAGACAGAUGAAAAGGACUCAAAUAUGUAGAAGAAUUUGCAUCAGCUCCUUUCAUUGAAGCAGAGUUGGAAACAAAAUAUGUGACAACCAAUUGAAGAAUAGCAAAAACAAAUGGGGAGUAUGAAUGUAAUGGAAUAUUAUUGUGUCAUAAGGAGUGAUGAAUAUGCCUGAGUCAGAGAGACAUGGGAAGACUUGCAUGGACUAGUACUGAAUGAAAUGAGAAGAAUCAGAUUUACAUGAAGAUCACAAUAAUACAGAGAGAAAUAACGUUGAGAGAGGACAGAACUCAGAUCCAUUACUAGUCAGUGUCUAAUCAUAACUUCUGAUGGCUGAUGAUGAAACUUGCUACCUACUCUUGGCAGGAAAAUGCCUACAAAAGACACUGGCUGAAGGCUGAGGGGCCAUUUUCGAGACAAGACCGGGAGGUACUUGGUCUUUAAUCUGGUUGAAUGAUCUGGAGUGUCUCCUUUUGAGAGCAAUGUGAACAAAUUCCUUGUACAGAACCAUGAUCACGAAUAUCCGGGAG
ensembl:lncRNA